ACUAUAAUGCUGUUAAUACCGCCCUGAGUAGUACCAGCGUCAGCUUUAAACUCAAAGAAUUUGGCGGCACCUUUACCCGCUAGAGGAGCCUGCCCCAUAAAUGAUGACCCACGCUUCGAUAAUCCUAAGUUUACAGUUUGUAUACCGCCGUUUAGGGUAUAUUAUAAAAUAUAUUCGAGAUAAACUUAACUAAAACGUCAGGUCAAGGUGCAGCCUAUACUUAGGAGGCGGUGGGCUACACUAAAUUUAUUUACACGAAGUUUAUUUAUAGUAGAUAAAUGAAGGUGGAUUUAUAAGUAAAGUACUAAGAUUUAGUGCUUGAAAGGG
rnacentral:rRNA from 1 species